GUUUAAGUAGUUUAAGUAAAAUGUUGGUUUGUGGGACCGAAGAUAUAAAUGAAUUAUCUUGAACC
rnacentral:tRNA from 1 species